rnacentral:tRNA from 1 species
GACCCGGUCGUCCAUGGGUAGGACCGCAGGUUCUCAACCUGCAAAACAGAGUUCGAGUCUCUGUCGGGUCA